GACAGAGGUGCCGAGCGUUAGGCGGAAUCACUGGGCUUAAAGCGUGUGUAGGCGGACUUCUAAGUACCUUGUGAAAUCCCACGGCUCAACCGUGGAACUGCUCGGUAUACUGGUCGUCUUGAGCCACCUAGGGGCGAGCGGAACAAGCGGUGGAGCGGUGAAAUGCGUAGAUAUCAUUUGGAACGCCAAUGGUGAAAACAGGUAGCUGGGAGUGUGCUGACGCUGAGACACGAAAGCCAGGGGAGCAAACGGG
rnacentral:rRNA from 1 species